rnacentral:misc_RNA from 1 species
UUUCCGUAGUGAACCUGCGGAAGGAUCAUUAAUAAAUGGCUCCGCGUUAGGAGCACUUAAUCCUACCCUUUGUGAAUUUGUUGUUUGAAAUAAUUUUUUUUAAAAUUAUUGAAUGUCUUUCCCUGUUGAAUUAGAGUGUUUUCGGACACAAAGAUUCGCAGGGAUAGUCAAUAAUUUUAAAAAGACCUUUUUUAAAUUAAACUUUUUGUAUUCAUUUGUCUAAAAUUAUUUUAUAAUAUAAAAACAACUCUUGACAAUGGAUCUCUUGGUUCUCGCACGAUGAAGAACGCAGCAAAUGCGAUAAGUAGUGUGAAUUGCAGAAUACGUGAAUCAUCGAAUCUUCGAACGCAUAUUGCACUUUUUUAGUUUACUAAAAAAGUAUGUCUGUUUGAGUAUCAGUAAAUAUUCUCAUAAAAACAUUGUUUUUAUGGUUAUGAGUGUUUACAACGAUACAAGUUGUUUCACUUUAAAUUUUUUAAAAUUUGAAUUUUUUCUAAUUUUAAAAUAAAAUUGGAUAAAAUUUCCCGUAAAAGGAAUAACCUAAACAAUUUAAUUUAAAAUUAGAAUUCAAAAAAAAGGAAUUUAUAAAAUAACUUGAUCUCAAAUCAGAUAAGAGUACCGCUGAACUUAAGCAUAUCAAUAAGCGAGGAAAAGAACUAACAAGGAUUCCUUAGUAACGGCGAGUGAAGCGGGAAGAGCUCAAAUUUGAAAUCUUCAAGGUUUUACUUGACGAAUUGUAGUUUAAAGAGUGUUUUCUGUUGAAGUUUUGGUAAAAGUUCUUUGGAAUAGGACAUCAUAGAGGGUGAGAAUCCCGUAUUUGACCAUUAUUUCAGCUGUGUGAUACACUUUCAAAGAGUCGGAUUGUUUGGGAAUGCAGUCCAAAAUGGGUGUAAAUUUCAUCUAAAGCUAAAUAUUGGCGAGAGACCGAUAGCGAACAAGUACCGUGAGGAAAGAUGAAAGAACUUUGAAAAGAGAGUUAAACAGUACGUGAAUGUCAAAAGGGAAGCUUUGACACCAGUGUUGUUUUCUCGAAAUCAAUUAAAAGAGUUGGAUUUGUGUUGUAUUGACCUUAACAGCUUUCUUCACUCUUUCCUGCUUUUUUAAUGCACUUUUCGUUUAACAAGUCAACAUCAGUUUCUUUUGUUGUAAAAGGUCAUUGGAAGGUGGCUUUCUUUCGGAGAAAGUGUUUAUAGCCUUUGAUCUCUGCAAUCGGAGAGACUGAGGUCUGCAGCGUAGAUCCUACGGGGUUAGAUACAUUUGCGCUAAGUAUAACUUUUCAUAGACAACUUGUUGACUAUGUUUAGUCAUGUGCUUACUCG